rnacentral:rRNA from 1 species
GACGAACGCUGGCGGCGUGCUUAACACAUGCAAGUCGAACGGUGAAAGCGGAGCUUGCUCCGCUGGAUCAGUGGCGAACGGGUGAGUAACACGUGGGCAACCUGCCCUGACUCUGGGAUAAGCGCUGGAAACGGCGUCUAAUACUGGAUAUGUCCCGUCACCGCAUGGUGUGCGGGUGGAAAGAUUUUUCGGUUGGGGAUGGGCUCGCGGCCUAUCAGCUUGUUGGUGAGGUAAUGGCUCACCAAGGCGUCGACGGGUAGCCGGCCUGAGAGGGAGACCGGCCACACUGGGACUGAGACACGGCCCAGACUCCUACGGGAGGCAGCAGUGGGGAAUAUUGCACGAUGGGCGGAAGCCUGAUGCAGCAACGCCGCGUGAGGGAUGACGGCCUUCGGGUUGUAAACCUCUUUUAGCAGGGAAGAAGCGAGAGUGACGGUACCUGCGGAAAAAGCACCGGCUAACUACGUGCCAGCAGCCGCCGUAA